GGUGCAUGAAGAGGUCUAGCAAGGGUCAGAUCAACGGAACUAUUUUCAACACGUUUAUUAGCCAUCUACUCUGCUAGCUGUUGGGAAUUCCAUAGUGAAAAAGACAGACAUGGUGCCUCUCCUCACCUAACUUAUAACCUGUCUGGAGGGAGAUCCAGAGAUCCAAACAAACAAGUACCUUCAAUACAACAAGAGAUGCCCUGCCCAGUGAGGAGGAAUCUAGAGAAGCAGUCUGGCCACAGCUUUGCUGCAAUGCAAUGUGACCUUUUUGACUUAACCAAGUAAACCAACAGGCUUGAAGACACACCGAUCAUAAAAAAAUGAAUCUAAGAACCC